UUACAAGUGUACAAAUGUUACAACAGCAUGAUUCUCAGCCACCAAGGCCACAGGUGUAAAAACUACCCAGGUUUGUUAGAGGAGCUUCUGGGCCACAAGACAGAAUAGGAAGCACAGCGAUGCUUGGCACAGGUUCCUGCCAUCAGAGCACCCUACAGUGAAGCCAGUCUCUCCCUAUUGCCAGCUUUAUUUUUUGAUUUCACUUGUCAAUUCCAGGCCUUCUUCAUUCAUUCUUGCUUCUUGCUCAUCCACCCACUGAGGGGAAAGUCAGCUCUUUGAGGGAAAUGGCCUGCUUGUCUUGGGUAUGGUUCAGAUUCCAGUAAACCGGAAGUGAUGUGGACUCAUCAUUGUGCUAGUCACACAUUUGUUUUUUUAUUAAAACCUUCAAGGUAAGUAUUUUUAUUCCCAUUUGACAUGGGAGGGUAUGGAAAUGCAGAAGGCUAAGCAACAGACAAUACCAUGCUGCUGUGAGCAACAAAGCAGGAACCCACAUCCAAACCUGGCUGACUUCUCCACUGGUGCCUGAGGCAGCAGAAACAGAGGCUAUAUUUUUAAGGAGCUGCAGUGGAUGCCCAGACCCAGAAGGGACUGCUCUCCCUCUGCAUUCCCAGAUCAUCUGCUUCUCUCUGGGCACUGGCCAUACAAGUCAUCAGCCUUACUCAGGAUAUUUGUUUACCUGUCCUGGUUCCCUUUUCUCCGCUAGAAACUCCUUGGGGGUGGGGCGAGUGGGACAGAUGUCAGACUCGACACGUAGCAUCGUCAAAGGCUGGGGUUUUAUCUUUUACAAUGAAGCCAUUUUUGUAAUGUUGGCCAUUCUCUUCUAUACAGACUCCCGUGGUGAAGGCAGGUAAGCAUUAUGAUACCAUAGCUUUUCCACCUCUUGGGAACGCAGAAAUCACAGUGCAGGAACUUCAAGAAAAGUGUCGCUACUGAUCGGCUCAUCUUUUAGAGAAGAACCUGUUGGGUUUGUCAAGAAUCACUGAUUCCCACCGAAAAUGAAACCACUGAUCCCUUGGAGCCAAGAUUUGAAUUUAAGAAGAUUCUUUAAGGAUCUUGAGGAUAAACUGCAAGUUCUUAGAAGGGAAUAGAAGCAGUUUGUGGCAACCAUCUCCGUUCUCAAUUAACGGCAUGGGUGAGACCGCAAACAGACCUGCACUAAAGACGAGCAGCCAGGGUUAAAACAAGCCAACUGAACGCUUUGUCCCUUGAAACCUUUCCUCAUUAAAUCUGGAGAAAGCUUUGCGUCUAAGCAACUGAGUACAAAGAAGUUUGAAUACAGACUCAUGCUUCCUGAACCACUGUCAACCUUGUGUCUCUAGAGCGUGCUGUGCACAGGCCGGCAUCUCUCCAUCAGCUCUGCCAUGGAGUGAGGGAAAAGCACACAUUUUUAUUCAUUUCAAUCAGGUUGCUGUGUGUCUGGCACACUAAAGAGGGAAAUCGGGCCCUUUUUAAUUAGGGGAAAAGCAGAAAGACUUUCAUGUGAGAACACUGCAGUCAAGCAUAUGUCAUCUUAGCUACUCAGGAGCUGUAAUUGCUUCUCUCCCGGACCACCUGCUGAGUUUCGAGUAUCAGUCUACUUAAUUUAACACAAAGAGAUUGAGGAUGCUGUUUUAGUCGUUGACUAGAGAGAGAAACUACCCUCAGA